rnacentral:lncRNA from 1 species
GGCGGCAGCACCACGGUGGUCAACUAAACUGGAUCUCCAAUACCUCACCAUAAACUGCCAAAAAAAAUUAGAUUUUCAACUUCUCUCAUCAAAUAAAAUUUCACCAUUAAAUAUUCACUCCACCACCUGAGAAUCUAUUAGUCCUGAAAUAAUUGUUACCCAAACUAGAUUCAAUACCGUCAAUAGACAUACAUCUAAUUUAUUUCAAAAAUAUUAAUGGUGAUUGCUCUUCAAAAAAGAUUUACUAUUUUUUUCUCAAAUAUUGACUGAAGGUUUGUGAAAAUGGGGAGGGGAAUAAUGGGAAAUGAAUAAGGGGAGAAAGAGAAAAGAAAAAUGGAGGAGGGGAAUAACGGGAAAGGAAUAAGGAGAGAAGAGAAAAGAAAAAUGGAGGAGGGGUGGGGAAAGAACGGGAAAUGGGAAGAGUAGAAAGAGAAAAAGAAAUGGGGGGGGGGGAAGAAGAAAGAACAAAUAUAUAUUAUUUUUUAUCUUUUGUCUUUUACUUUUACUUUUUAUUUUUAUUUUUCUUUUUAUUUUAAUCAUUUUUAGUCUAACUUUUUUAUGUUUACUCUCGUUAUACGUGUGAAGUUCACGUAUUUUGUCCAACUCGGUCAUGAGGUUGCCACGUAUGCUUGGUCAAUGGUCAGAGGAGUUUAAAGUAAUGUGUUUUAAAAACUAUGAGUGUCUGGAUGAAACUUCGUAGAGUAUCGGGACCGAGAUGACAAAAUGAGACAAGUAGAAGUAUUUAUUAGGCUAUUCUGCCAAUUAAUAAUAAUAUCCUUAGAUCUUAAUAUUAGAAAAAGCAAUUAACAUGUGCUCAUGCGGAUAGUAAAGGCAUCACGUGAUAAAUUCUCUGAAAAACCAAGAACAGUGGUGUAGCAUAUGACAUCUAAUAGGCAAUAAUAAAUGGCAUUUAAGCACAUAAGGGGAAUGAUUCAAUCAAUAAAAGACGGAAUAAUUGAACCUUCCGUCUGACAAUGAUUGAAAGACAAAUCCUAGAACAAUUGAGGAUUUCUCGGAUCUGAUGGUAAAGUAUAAAUAAGAAUUUUAGUGAAAAGUAGAUCUUUGUAUUGAGUGAAGACCGAAUCUUUUUGUCAAAGUGCUUUUCUUACAGAAAAUCAAUAUUCCUUCUAUCACUGUUUCUCCUUCUAUUUAUAUGGGACAUACUUCCAAGAAACCCUAAAAGUACAAGUACAGAGAAUAUCCAAGAGAAUAUUCUCUUUAAUAUCCUAUCUCGAAAACUAGUCGUUUCUGCCCUAUUGAACGUACUCGACCUUGACCUCAAUCCUUGUUGACACCGUGACUACGACUUUCAUCGACUCUUCGACCGCGGGCCGUGCGCCUUCUCGGACCAUCUUAACAAGUGACGGCUUGAGGAUUUUUCUCGUAAUGCUAUCUCACCCUGAAUAUUCUAAGGGCAGAUUUUGACCCAUAUAAUUAGUCCCUCUGUUUAUUGAGGCCGGCCUCAGGCGGGAUUGAUGAGCGAAUUCUAUUCAUUGCGGUCGAAACGAUUGGGCGAGUUGAGCUGGUCGUGAUGAUUGAGGCAAACUAGCAACGUGGCCCUUCGUGAGCCGCGAAUUUUGGAUGCUCCGUCUCACAGUUGAUUUGUUGGAGUUGUGAUGUCUAUGAAUUAGGGUGACGUCAUGACGUCAUGCAUCAUCAUGACGGGUAUUCUCGAUGCGUUGCUUUAUUUUUCAUGGGACUCCUGAUUGGACCUACCGGUUCGGUUCCAGUGCCAGGUAAUAAUGAGCCAAUUUCUCGAUUUUGAUGUCAGGAUCCUUAUAAAUAGGGAUGUGAGGGUGUAAUUUCAAAGUUUACAGAUUUCCUGUAUCAAAACGUCAUAUCCUCUUCCUCUUCUUCCAUUGUUGUGCAUUUUCCCUUCUAUUCCAGCGAUUCUCGUCGUUUUUAAUCCUCAGUUGUUUGGUACAUCUCUUUCUUUCGUCGAAACAUGUCUAACGGACCCUCUGAGUCCAACGAGGGAAGUGAUGCGGUCCCUCUAGCGAUAGUGUUUCCCCCUCAUGCGGAGAACGCUCCCGCUGCUGUCGAGGACGGAAGCUUCCCUACGGUGGAGGAGAUAGUUCCUCGUAACCCUGAUACCAGGCCAGAUUUCUCAAAAAAUCCUGAAGUUGAGCUCGGAACCUUUAAAUCGUCAAUGAAAGAGGAUGACUUAUUGGAGCUUAGGGCUAAAUACGGCCUUCCGAAUUACGUCGAGUUGAUCUCUGAUGGGUGGGAUACGGUGCAGGUCCACCAUCCUGGGUACUGCGCCUUAUACGCCUACCCUUUUCACGUCGGCUACACUCUUCCUCUCCUUCUCGUCUCGGCUCACGCCGUAUGUCUAUAAACUCAUAAGGAUGCUCACUUAAUUUAUGGAGUUGGCUGGGGUCGAGCUCACACUUCGACACUUGAUGCACCUAUUCGCCCCCAGCAUUUAUAUGGGGACAAUGUUGAAUCUUCGCCACCGAGGAGGUAAAUGCUUGGUGGUAAAGAUGGACGACAAAUCUAACCGCCAAUUCUGGCUCAAAUUUUUCUUUGUUCGAACUGAGGAUGUGGUGGUCAACGUUGAUAGUUUCCCUGAGGCUUGGAAUUGCACUCGUAAGUACACACCUCUUUGUUUGUAGGUAUCCAAUUUUUCCUUAGUGUUUUGUUGUGGUUCUAAUCUCAUGCUCCUUCUUAUGCAUCUACGCGUUUACCUCCACCUUUGGUUGACAACAUUUCCGACUGGGUGGGUAGGCUCCUUUAUCACAUCGUGGGGAUACGCGAGUGGUUGGGCUUCUUCAAAAGGUUUGGGCCUCAUCUCCCUUUGACUGGUAAGUUGUUCUUAUCUUCGGCCUCUUAGUUAUUUCUUUUUCAUGGUUUACUUUGGCUGCCUUUUCUUUUCUCUUUGUAUUUCCCUUAAAUUCAGCUAGGGGGUCCUCGAAGAGGUUGAGAUCUCCUGCACCUGCGUUCCGAAAGAGGAAGAAUUCUAAGGCCUCGACUUCUGCCCCUUCCUGGACUGUGACCACCUCAGCUCGUGUCCCAAUCUCUUCUUUGACCGCGACAGCCUCUGCCCGCGCCCAUGUUGGUACGCCUUGUCUUGUUCCUUCCUCGGUCAUGGGAACCUCGGCCGCUUUACCAUACCGCCUUGUAGAUGAAGACGAGGAUGAGCUUGUACCUGGUGAGGAAGAUUUAAUGCCUCGCAAGAGGAGGUCUGUAAAUACUGGCGAUAGGGCCUCCCGAGCCGUUGACUUAAUGGGGGACGACUUUACACUAUGCGAGACGAUGACCAUUGUCAUCGAAGAUGACGUCUGGCCGAUGUUUGAGAUUCCGAGGUUGACGGAGGCCGAUGUGGAUACGCCUCUUCCUUCUGUGAUGAUAGAGGCUAAAGGGCCAGCCACUAGAGCUUUCGACACUUCGCCGCAAGAUGAGCUGCCAACUUUGCGACUAGCUGAUGAUACUUCUUUGCCGACCGAUAAGAGAGGCAAAGAUGUUGCUAAAGAAGGUUAUGAGAUUGGUUCAGACGUUGAUGUUGGUGACCUGUAGAUGAUAGAGGAAGGGUUUACUCAGCUUGAGGUAAGGUUGGAGGGGUCUACAAGGACCAUUGCGAUCCUUUUGGAUCGUGAUUUGCUGAAGAAUACGGAGGACGUUAUCUCUCGCCUUGGCCCUCUUUGUUCCGAGAUAGAGGGUAAGACCUUUAAAGAGUUGGAUGAUGUUACUCUAUCGAGGAGCAUUGUUGGUCUUGCCCUUAGAGUGAGUGUAUAAUGUUUUGUUCUUCUUUUAUUUUUGCCUUUGUUUUCCGGGGCGUUUUUGUUUCUGAUUCGUUUCUUUUCUUUUUCUGGCCGCAGAGGGUGAUUUUGGAGAUCGAGAGUGCCCGAAGAGAGGAGAGGCGUAGGGAAAUUUGUAUAAGGUUGAAAAAUAAGUACUUUGAGUAUCGAUGCAAGUACCGGGAUUUCGUCGGCGGCUUGAGAAGGGUGGCGACAUGCAGGCCCUUCGGGACGAGUUGAAGGAGAAAAAUGAUGAGCUAGUAAAGGCCAUUGAGAAGCACAGUGUCCUCGAGGAGACGUUGAGUAGUCGUGAAGAGGAGCUUGAGGUUAGCAGGGGCAUGGGGGCCCAAUGUAGUGACCUUCAAGCAUAAGUAGUCGAAUUGCGCAGGCAAUUGGAAGAAAGUCGGCUUCAGCUGGAGGGCCUUAAUGGUGCAAUUGCUGAGAAGUGGAGCGAGCUUGAGAAAGCGGAAUCUUUUCGUUUGUACGCUUAGAGGAAGUUGUAGAUGCUUGAGAUAGCGAAUAACACCCUUCGAUCUGAGCGGGAGAAUGGCCAGUCCACGGCGAAGGCUAAGGAGGAUCGACUAGAGGGGAGGGUCAGAGAGUUGGAGAAGGAUAACAUCCUCCUUCAUGAUCGUGUGGUCGCAUUGGAAGUUGUGAAGGCUCAAAUGCUCGUAUGGUCGCAUUGGGGGGGGGGGCAUUUUUUCUCUCAGAAGUUGAAGUAUUUUAUGUGGUUAAUAUUCCAAUUGUUUGGUAGUAGCUUUCAUUCCAUUGUUUCUAGUUGGAACGAACCUUUGUUUGUUUCGGCUAUGAUUUUAUAUGGACCAUCCCAAUUUGUUCCCAGCUUGCCUUCCUUGGGAUCUUUGCUUGCUUGAGUUUUAGCUUUCAGUACGUAGUCCCCGACUUUGAGUGGCCUGACCUUUGCUUUCUUGUUGUAAUAGCGUUUUGCUUGUUGCUUUUGGGUGACCAUUCUUAUGUAGACCAUAUCUCUUCGUCGAGUUCUUGCCUUCUGCUCUCGUCAUUACCCGUGCGCUCUCAUGGGAGUACCUUAGGUUGGAUUCUCCGACCUCGACUGGUAUUACUGCCUUGGUCCCGUAGACCAAAAAGUAGGGCGUCUCUCAUGUGCUUGUUUUUAGAGUUGUUCGGUAGGCCCAUAAUACUUCUUGUAGUAUUUCCGACCACAAUCCCUUGGCGUCUUCAAUCUUCUUCUUCAUGAUGUUUAGUACUGAUUUGCUGGAUGAUUAUACUGGUCUGUUACCAGCGGGGUGGUAUGGGGUCGAGAGUAUCCUCUUGAUAUGCCAUUUCUCUAAGAAUUCGACAAUUUUCUUUCUUGUGAACUAGGGUCCGUUGUCACAACUGAUUUCUUUGGGAAGGCCGAAUCGGCAGAUGAUGUUUCUCCAUAUAAAGGUGAUUACUUCAUGUUCCUGUAUUUGGGCGAAUUCUCCUGCUUCCACCUACUUAGAGAAAUAGUCAAUUAAAACCAAAAGGAAUCGUAUAUUACCUCGCCCCGCUGGUAAGGGGCCCAUGACGUCCACUCCUUAUUUGAUGAACGACCAAGGGGACGUGACUGAGUGGAGGUGUUCACCUGCUUGGUGGAUCAUCGGCGCGCACCUUUGGCACUGCUCGUAUCGCCUUACAAAGUAUGCGACAUCCUUUUUCAUGGUGGGCCAGUAAUAUUUUGCCCGUAUGAGGCAUCUGACCAGUGCCCGGUUGCCGGAGUGAGCCCCGCAAUGGCCUUCGUGAACUUCUUUGAGGACGCGCUGGGUUUGGUUCGGGCCCAAGCACUUCGCCAUAGGGCUGUGGUAGGUCAUUUGUACAAAUCGUUGUGGAGGAUAUUGUACCUGGCCGCUUGCGUUCUUAGUUUCUUGGCCUCCUUUUUGUCAAUAGGGAGUGUGACGUCCUGCAAGUAUGCUACAAUACAAUUGCGCCAAUCCCAAGUUAGGUUUAUGGUUCUUACCUCGACUUGGUCUAGUGAUGAGUGUCACACCUCCUUUUUCUCGAGGGAUAAUGGAGUUUUUUCAAUUAAAGUGACAUUAAUCGAAAUAAGAUUAUUUAAUUAUUCAGAGUCGCCAGAGCUGUCUCACCUCCUUUUUCCCGAGGGAUAGGGGAGUUUUUCCAAUUAAAGUGACAUUAAUCGAAAUGAGAUUAUUUAUUUAUUCAGAGUCGCCAGAGCUGUCUCACCUCCUUUUUUCCGAGGGAUAGGGGAGUUUUUUUAAUUAAAGUGGCAUUAAUCGAAAUGGGAUUAUUUAUUUAUUUAGAGUCGCCAGAGCUGUCUCAUCUCCUUUUUCCCGAGGGAUAGGGGAGUUUUUCCAAUUAAAGUGAUAUUAAUCGAAAUUGUAUAAUUUAUUUAUUCAGAGUCGCCACUUGGAAUAAUUUAUGGUGUCCCAAGUCACCGGUUUAUUUUAAAAUCUCAAAUCGAGGAAAAUUGACUCUAUUUAUGGUCCGUGAACACAGAAGACCGGGUAAGGAAUUUUGUUAACCCGGGAGAAGGUGUGAGGGACUCCGUGUUCCGUGGUUUUAGCACGGUUGCUUAACAAUUAAUACUUGGCCUAAUUAUCUGAUUUAAUUCAUGUUUUAGACCUAUUGCGCAUUUUAAUCUUUACCGCUUUUAAUUAUUUACUUAACUUCUUUUAGUAUUUAUGGAAUUUAAAUAAGUCGCGAUGUCGCGCACUUAUUGUUUUUGUACACAUUGCGAAUCGCGUCACGUGAAACGCACUCGCGAUUUACAACAUGAUAAUUUUAAAUAUUAUUUAAAGUUAUGGUCGAGUCACGUGAAACACACACUCGAAUUGGGGAUUACGUAUCAUGACUAUGCCACGAGAACCGUACCCAUAGCCACGAUGAUUUAUUAAUCGCGCCUAAAGCAAACUACAGUGUUCAUAAAUUAUUUUAACUUCCUAUGGUUUGAAGUUACAUGCGGAGGUCUCAGUUAUGGAUGUAUUGAUAUACAAGAAAAUAUGAACAACAUCAAAAUGAGUGUACAACUCCAGCAUUUGCUUAUCUUGAAGUUAACCGCUUGUCCAAAUACCAGAAGGAAAGACGAACACUCCAUUUCAAUAUCCACUGCUCAAAGAUGAGUCAACAGUAAUUUUCUGAUGUUCUUUCUUUAUUUUGAAGAAUAAUUGUGCUGAAUCUUGAUUAGCCUGUUAACUACUUGUCCAAAUACCAGAUGGAAUCUUGGACAUGAAUUACUACAGAUAAAGCUCAACUAAGAGAUGCUCACAAGCAUUAUUAAUGGACCUUUGAUUCUAUAUUUUGUACUCAAACUAUUAAUAGGCCUAAAUCUAAGAAGAGCCCAAGUUCAAAAUCCAUACUAAAUGAAUUCAAUUACAGCCUACCAAAUUUAAUCAAAAUUAGAAUAAACGCAGACUCAACCAAUCACAGAAGAUGGAUUACAAGACUUCUUAAAAGUUACUAGAGAAUCAAUCAAAUUUCGAAAUUGUGAAAGAUUCAUUACAGUAAAAAUAAGAAAUCAUAAUUCCUAACUAAUUUAGCCUUCAAACACACGAUAUCUAUUAGCGUAAAGUAACAAAUAACUCGAGCUUCAUUCAUGAUUUCAAGUCAAAGCAGCAGCAACAUAUGAGCAUACCUAUGAGAAGAGAACAACUGAAAUUGGACCCAAUAAAGGUUGGAAUCCAACGAAUCAAGCUCAACUAUUAGGAGAAAACAACUGAGCAACAGAUGAAUCAACCGAAAAGGUGCCAAAUAAAGGCUACAUGGAAGUGAUGAAACCCAGCAGACUUGAAUAGCGAAACUCAACAAUGAAACAACAACACUGGAGCUCAGUUAUCCCUCCAAAAUCCCAGCAGAUAUAACGCAAGAGAAUAAAAUCCAAAUCAGUUUUCAAUUCUUUUUUUUUAUAUUUUCUGAUCUGACUUUUGCUUUCUAAAUUUCGAAAUUUGUUCUUCACUAUCUCGUGUGUGUUUGUGAAAAUUACUGAUGGUAAAUCGCGUGUGUAUAUCGAUGAAAUAUGAGAGGAACGAGAAGGGAAGGAGUGUGAGAGGGAUCUGAGAGCUUAUUGGGGCGGCUAGGGUUUUUCUAAGGGGGGGAUAUGUUCUUCUCUAGAGAUGGGAAUUUAGAUCUAUAUAAAAUGGGAAGUGGGCAUGGGCUUUGGAUAGGGUAAAAGAGGGGUUCUGGGGCGGAUCUGAUAGCAACUGGGCUAAUAUUUUAGUCCAUUUGGCCCAAUUCCAAUAAAAAACCAAACAACCUUUCUCUUGCCUUUUGUUUAAUUUCGGAAAUAGCCACUUGACCAAACUCUAAUUUCACGCCUAAAUUGCUAAAUUAACCUACUUACAGUUUUUAAUUCCAAGCAAUCAAAAAUUAUUUUGGGUUAUGUUUUAGGAGUAAUUUUCUAUGUGGGGCAAAAAUUAGGUGCUCACAGCUGCCCCUCUUUGCUCGGAAACAUGAAGAGUUUUCGGGCAAAGACAAAGUGAGCAAUGUUGAACAAUUUUUGCCUAUUUGAAUACUUCAUGGGAAGCGUUUUUGAAAUAGUUUGACCGAACCUUGCUUCGGAGGUUGCCUACAUAUCCUUGGCUAUAAAAGAUUCAGGUAAGUGUAGUUCUGGAAAUUUUGGUAGCUGGGACUAUCGGAAAA